GGGGCCCUGGAAGCUGGAUCUGGAAAGCUUGGUGGUGCUCAUGUUCAGGGGGCAAUCUGGAGCCACGGGGUGGAGAGAAUGAGAUGUGGUUUGCAGCUCAGUGCUCAUUGCUGUUCAUUCUCCAGGAGGACAUGAGGAUUGUUGUGCCUUUUGGUGCCAAGAAGCCUGCAAGUACCAAGUGGAAAUCCCUGGCCUCAUCCCUCCUUCACAGCUCCUCAGAAAGGCAUCACACCGGAAUGCUCCCUCACUGUCGCUGACCAUGUGAUGUUCUUGGCCAUGGGGAUGUCAGCGCACAUGACAAGCAGUCGGGGCUGCCCUUGCCCUGGCCCUGUGCUGUGGCAAUGAGAACCCGGAGGAGCCAGAGGAGUGACCGUCACUGUUCAUCGAGGCCAUCCUGGGCCAGCCAGCACCCAGCUGACCCCGGACACAUGGGUAAGCACAGCCCAGGCCAGAACUCUCUAGACUGACGUGGGGCAUGUGAGCGUUCCCACCACAGAGCAGCCCAAAUGAGCCCAGAUCGGCUGAACCUCAUGGAACCCCGAGCUCAAUAAAUAUUAAUUUGUGUAUGACAUCCAGUUUUCUAUGGCUGUUUUUCACUGAGCAUGAUUGGUGGAUAAUUGAUCAUUGACCACUAGGUUAACUCUCACACUGUACCUGGACCUCAUCAAGGGCCAGGCCGUGAGUGCCACACAAGUGACAAAUGUUGAAAAACUCAUGAGUGAGUUUAGGUGAAAUCUCAGAGUGUGGGGACUCAACCAGCUUGCUCACCAGCCCGGUUCAGGCUUAUCAGACCCAGGUGACACUGUCCAAAAUCCUGGUUCAAGGGUGAGUCAGUCAACUUAGCGCUUGUUGGCCAUCAGAUGCACAUAGGUAGGACUUAAUAAAGCAAAGGUGGACUCUGAGCCACCCAGAAUGGAUGUGGAAAUUACCCACAUCCAUUGAGGGGAG
rnacentral:lncRNA from 1 species